AGUGAACGCUGGCGGUAGGCCUAACACAUGCAAGUCGAACGGCAGCACAGGAGAGCUUGCUCUCUGGGUGGCGAGUGGCGGACGGGUGAGGAAUACAUCGGAAUCUACUCUGUCGUGGGGGAUAACGUAGGGAAACUUACGCUAAUACCGCAUACGACCUACGGGUGAAAGCAGGGGACCUUCGGGCCUUGCGCGAUUGAAUGAGCCGAUGUCGGAUUAGCUAGUUGGCGGGGUAAAGGCCCACCAAGGCGACGAUCCGUAGCUGGUCUGAGUGGAUGGACAGCCACACUGGAACUGAGACACGGUCCAGACUCCUACGGGAGGCAGCAGUGGGGAAUAUUGGACAAUGGGCGCAAGCCUGAUCCAGCCAUACCGCGUGGGUGAAGAAGGCCUUCGGGUUGUAAAGCCCUUUUGUUGGGAAAGAAAUCCAGCUGGCUAAUACCCGGUUGGGAUGACGGUACCCAAAGAAUAAGCACCGGCUAACUUCGUGCCAGCAGCCGCCGUAA
rnacentral:rRNA from 1 species